rnacentral:rRNA from 1 species
GAUGAACGCUGGCGGCGUGCUUAACACAUGCAAGUCGAACGAAGCACUUUAUUUGAUUUCCUUCGGGACUGAUUAUUUUGUGACUGAGUGGCGGACGGGUGAGUAACGCGUGGGUAACCUGCCUUGUACAGGGGGAUAACAGUUGGAAACGGCUGCUAAUACCGCAUAAGCGCACGGCAUCGCAUGAUGCAGUGUGAAAAACUCCGGUGGUAUAAGAUGGACCCGCGUUGGAUUAGCUAGUUGGUGAGGUAACGGCCCACCAAGGCGACGAUCCAUAGCCGACCUGAGAGGGUGACCGGCCACAUUGGGACUGAGACACGGCCCAAACUCCUACGGGAGGCAGCAGUGGGGAAUAUUGCACAAUGGGCGAAAGCCUGAUGCAGCGACGCCGCGUGAGCGAAGAAGUAUUUCGGUAUGUAAAGCUCUAUCAGCAGGGAAGAUAAUGACGGUACCUGACUAAGAAGCACCGGCUAAAUACUUG